UGGGGAAUUUUGGACAAUGGGCGAAAGCCUGAUCCAGCAAUGCCGCGUGUGUGAAGAAGGCCUUCGGGUUGUAAAGCACUUUUGUCCGGAAAGAAAUCCUUGGCUCUAAUACAGUCGGGGGAUGACGGUACCGGAAGAAUAAGCACCGGCUAACUACGUGCCAGCAGCCGCGGUAAUACGUAGGGUGCAAGCGUUAAUCGGAAUUACUGGGCGUAAAGCGUGCGCAGGCGGUUUGCUAAGACCGAUGUGAAAUCCCCGGGCUCAACCUGGGAACUGCAUUGGUGACUGGCAGGCUAGAGUAUGGCAGAGGGGGGUAGAAUUCCACGUGUAGCAGUGAAAUGCGUAGAGAUGUGGAGGAAUACCGAUGGCGAAGGCAGCCCCCUGGGCCAAUACUGACGCUCAUGCACGAAAGCGUGGGGAGCAAAACAGGAUUAGAUACCCUGGUAGUCCACGCCCUAAACGAUGUCAACUAGUUGUUGGGG
rnacentral:rRNA from 1 species